rnacentral:rRNA from 1 species
GACGAACGCUGGCGGCGUGCUUAACACAUGCAAGUCGAACGGAAAGGCCCUGCUUUUGUGGGGUGCUCGAGUGGCGAACGGGUGAGUAACACGUGAGUAACCUGCCCUUGACUUUGGGAUAACUUCAGGAAACUGGGGCUAAUACCGGAUAGGAGCCCCCGUUGCAGGGUGGGGGUUGGAAAGUUUCGGCGGUUGGGGAUGGACUCGCGGCUUAUCAGCUUGUUGGUGGGGUAGUGGCUUACCAAGGCUUUGACGGGUAGCCGGCCUGAGAGGGUGACCGGCCACAUUGGGACUGAGAUACGGCCCAGACUCCUACGGGAGGCAGCAGUGGGGAAUAUUGCACAAUGGGCGGAAGCCUGAUGCAGCAACGCCGCGUGCGGGAUGACGGCCUUCGGGUUAUAAACCGCUUUCGCCUGUGACGAAGCGUGAGUGACGGUAAUGGGUAAAGAAGCACCGGCUAACUACGUG